GUCUAGAAUUUAUUAUAAGCAUUUUAAAAUGAUCUCCCUAUGCUGAGCUGUAGGAUCUGUCAAAGUUAACACCGUCGUGUGUCUUCUUCUUAUUUUUACUUGGAUUCGUCUAUAGGCGAAUAUGGGAAAGGAACAAACAAAAACAAACCAGAAAGUUGAAUUGAAUGAAUGCAGUGUAAAUAGCUUAUUAUAAAUUCUUGCUAAAACCAGUGUUUUAAGGAGAGAUAGCCGGAGAAAUCGUUGAGAAACGUAGAAAUUCCGAAGAUUUGCCUAACACUUCCCAGUAGCAUUAUACUGCCCGAACCGUUAGUUUACGCUAGUUUGUACGGUGAUCUGCUUGAAAGUGCAGUAGAAGAAAAGGAAGAAGUCGAAACGGAU